rnacentral:tRNA from 1 species
CGUUUAGCUCAGUGGUAGAGCGUGGCACCCGUAAUGCUAAGGUCGUUGGUUCGAUCCCGACUUCG